UACGUAGGGUGCGAGCGUUGUCCGGAAUUAUUGGGCGUAAAGAGCUCGUAGGCGGCUUGUCGCGUCGUCCGUGAAAACUUGGGGCUCAACCCCAAGCUUGCGGUCGAUACGGGCAGGCUAGAGUUCGGUAGGGGAGACUGGAAUUCCUGGUGUAGCGGUGAAAUGCGCAGAUAUCAGGAGGAACACCGGUGGCGAAGGCGGGUCUCUGGGCCGAUACUGACGCUGAGGCGCGAAAGCCAGGGGAGCGAACGGG
rnacentral:rRNA from 1 species